CAGGCAGACCGGGCGGCCGCUCCGAUGACCCCCGACACAGUCGGGAAUCACCGGGGAGGAAAGUCCGAACUCCACCGGGCAGGAUGCCGGGUAACACCCGGGAGGGGUAACCCUACGGAAAGUGCAACAGAAACAUACCGCCCGCCUCUGGCGGGUAAGGGUGAAAUGGUGAGGUAAGAGCUCACCGGCGUCCGGGUGACCGGACGGCCGUGCAAACCCCAUCCGGAGCAAGACCGAAUAGAGGGACAAGGGCGCCCGGCCCGUCCCCGGGUUGGUCGCAUGACGCCGCUGGUAACAUCGGCGCUAGAUAGAUGGUCGCCGGUCCUUCCCAUCACCCGGGAAGGAUCACAGAACUCGGCUUACAGGUAGGCCUGGCCC
rnacentral:RNase_P_RNA from 1 species